rnacentral:rRNA from 1 species
AGGACGAACGCUGGCGGCGUGCUUAACACAUGCAAGUCGAGCGAGGCCCUUCCUUCGGGAGGGUGCCCUAGCGGCGAACGGGUGAGUAACACGUGGGCAACCUGCCUCUAGCACUGGGAUAACUCCGGGAAAACCGGGGCUAAUACCGGAUAUGACCUCCGAGGGCAUCCUUGGUGGUGUAAAGGACUCUGGCUAGAGAUGGGCCCGCGGCCUAUCAGCUUGUUGGUGGGGUAACGGCCUACCAAGGCGACGACGGGUAGCCGGCCUGAGAGGGCGACCGGCCACACUGGGACUGAGACACGGCCCAGACUCCUACGGGAGGCAGCAGUGGGGAAUAUUGCACAAUGGGCGAAAGCCUGAUGCAGCGACGCCGCGUGAGGGAUGAAGGCCUUCGGUUGUAAACCUCUUUCAGCAGGGACGAAGCGAAAGUGACGGUACCUGCAGAAGAAGCACCGGCCAACUACGCGCCAGCAGCCGCGGUAA